rnacentral:misc_RNA from 1 species
GGAGGCACCAAAGAUUGAUAACCCGAACUGUGAGACAGCUCCUGGUUGUGGUGAAUGGAAGAAACCAAUGAAGAGGAAUCCCGAAUACAAGGGUAAGUGGCACGCCCCAGAAAUCGACAAUCCUAACUACAAGGGAAUUUGGAAGCCUAGGCAAAUUCCUAACCCUAGCUACUUUGAAAUUGAAAAACCUGACUUCGAUCCCGUGGCUGCAAUUGGAAUUGAGAUCUGGACCAUGCAAGAUGGUAUCUUGUUUGACAACAUUUUGAUCGCGAAAGAUGAGAAAAUUGCAACUUCGUACCGUGAUACCAAAUGGAAGCC